rnacentral:miRNA from 1 species
AGGCAGGAGGAUCACUUGAGCCUAGGAGUUGGAGGUUGCAGUGACCUAUGAUCAUGCAACAGCACUCCAGCCUGGGCAACAGAAUGAGACCCUGUCU